rnacentral:rRNA from 1 species
UACGUAGGUGGCGAGAGUUGUCCGGAUUUAUUGGGCGUAAAGCGCGCGCAGGUGGUCCGUUAAGUCCUGUGUGAAAUCUCCCGGCUCACCCGGGAGGGGGCGCGGGAUACUGGGGGACUGGAGGCAGGCAGAGGCCGGUGGAAUUCCCGGUGUAGUGGUGAAAUGCGUAGAGAUCGGGAGGAACACCAGUGGCGAAAGCGGCCGGCUGGGCCUGUUCUGACACUGAGGCGCGAAAGCGUGGGGAGCGAACCGG